rfam:Triticum aestivum genome assembly, contig: Triticum_aestivum_CS42_TGACv1_scaffold_291588_4AL
AAUGUACUCCCUCCUUCUGAAAAUACUUGUUAUCAAAAUGGAUAAAAGAAAAUGUAUCUAGUCUAGAUACAUCUUCUUUUAUCCAUUUUGAUGACAAUUAUUUCCGAACGAAGGAAGUACUUA